GGGUAGGAGAUUUCUUCCUUUCCUCUCCAGGUUGCCGUAAACAGCCCACCCACCGCCCAGAGUGGAAAGGGCACAAAGAGACCCAGCCUCCUAGUCUCUCGUACCGGCAUCCAGCCGCCUGCUUAGGGACAGGAAGUCGGCCAUGCCGAGAAGGUCGUUCUGAAUGGAAGUGGACGGACGGCCACAGAAACGGACAGGAAGUUGGCCAUCCCGGGGAGGUCGGUGUGUAAGACAGUGGAGGACUACUGCGCAUGUGUGACUGGAAGUUGGCAGGCCCUAGGAGUAGGUAACCCAAAACACUCGAAGAGCCACUUGGACCCAUUUACAACCGAAAACAUCUUUUAUGACUCAUGGACUUCUACUCUCAGAAUUCCUGAGUCAGCAUAGCUGGGCUAGCUAGCUCUCUCCUGCCCUUCCUGCUUCCUGCAGAGACGCAGCAAAAGGAGGAGUGCCAUCCAGUAAGCUUUUUAGCUCGUCGGAGAACACUGUCAUUUUGGAUUCGUGCCUUGAAAGUCAACAUUACUUCAGUUGGAACUGGGGUUUUACUCCUAAGAAUGCACAAUACACAGUGGUUACUAUUACCCCAGACACAGGGGUUACCCUUGCUUAUCUAGGCAUAAUUACUGGAAGACCAUCCACCUCCCUCUAUAUCCUAAAGCAGGGGUCUCCAAACCUGGCCCUUUUAUGACUUGUGGACUUCAACUCUCAGCACGCUGGCUGAGGAAUUCUGGGAGUUGA